rnacentral:rRNA from 1 species
GACGAACGCUGGCGGCGUGCUUAACACAUGCAAGUCGAACGAAGUGGCGAACGGGUGAGUAACGCGUAAUCAACCUGCCCUUCAGACGGGGCCCACCGUUGGAAACGACUGCUAAUCCCGCAUACUGACGGAGGGGCUUGCGUCUGAUUAUCUAGUUGGAGGGGUAACGGCACAACAAGGCGAUGAUCAGUAGCCGGGCUGAGAGGGUGAACGGCACAAUGGGGACUGGUACACGGCCCAGACUCGUACGGGAGGCAGCAGGGGGGAAUCUUCCGCAAUGGACGAAAGUCUGACGGAGCAACGCCGCGUGAGUGAUGACUGCCUUCGGGUUGUAAAGCUCUGUUAAUCGGGACGCGGUACCGGAAUAGAAAGCCACGGCUAACUACGUGCCAGCAGCCGCGGUAAUAC